GAUGAACGCUGGCGGCGUGCUUAACACAUGCAAGUCGAUCGGUAACGCGGGGGCAACCCUGGCGACGAGAGGCGGACGGGUGAGGAACGCUUGGGAAUCUGCCUAUCAGCGGGGGACAACACGGGGAAACUCGUGCUAAUACCGCAUACGCUCUACGGAGGUAAGCCGGGGACCGCAAGGCCUGGCACUGAUAGAUGAGCCCAAGCCGGAUUAGCUAGUUGGCGGGGUAACGGCCCACCAAGGCGACGAUCCGUAGCUGGUCUGAGAGGACGAUCAGGCACACUGGGACUGAGACACGGCCCAGACUCCUACGGGAGGCAGCAGUGGGGAAUAUUGGACAAUGGGGGAAACCCUGAUCCAGCGACGCCGCGUGGGUGAAGAAGGCCUGCGGGUUGUAAAGCCCUUUCGGUAGGGACGAAAGCUCUCGACCUAACACGUCGGGAGGUUGACUUAACCUACAAAAGAAGCACCGGCUAACUCUGUGCCAGCAGCCGCCGUAACAC
rnacentral:rRNA from 1 species